rnacentral:rRNA from 1 species
UACGUAGGAGGCAAGCGUUGUCCGGAGUUACUGGGCGUAAAGCGCACGCAGGCGGUCACCUCAGUCUGUAGUGACAGGGCGCAGCUCAACUGCGUCAGGAUUAUGGAAACUGGGUGACUUGAGGGCUUCAGAGGGAUGGGGAAUUCCGGGUGGAGUGGUGAAAUGCGUAGAGAUCCGGAGGAACACCAAAGGCGUAGGCACCAUCCUGGGGAGUCACUGACGCUCGGGUGCGAAAGCCAGGGGAG